GCCACCACCGUAAAGCAAGCUUUCGGAGGGUGGUAAUAUUAGUGGGUGGUGGUAGUAGUGGUGGUAGAGAUGGUAGAGAUGGUAGAGGGUUGAAGGGUGGUGGUGUCGGUGGAAAGCGGGAAAGCUUCGACGACUAUUCACGACCACCCACAGUUCAUUCCGGCCGUGUUAGUUGUGUGAGCAACAUCAUCACAUCAAUCGUGUAUAUUAAAUUAAACAUUUGAACAAAAAAAUAUGUAAUUAAAUAAAAUCCCAUAUAGGAUAAAAGAACAAAACGAAUCUUUCAUUAUGAGUGAUAUUCAUGCGACAAAAUAUUCCUAUCAUCGAUAAAAUUAAAAAACAAAAAAAACAAAAUAAAAAUCAAACAAAACAAGCAACGAAACCAAACAAAAAUCAUCGUGGUAUGAGAUCGUGCGUACAUUCGUUCAAGAUGAAAUAUAAACAAAAAAUAUUAUUAUUAAUUAAUAUUAUUAAUUAUAUGUGUGUCAUCGAUACGAUAGUACGUGUAAAUGACAAAUGACGUCUUUUUAUUCGUUGAUAAAAAAAAAAUUCAAAGUCAGUUACGAAGAAAACGAAGACGAAACUCUUACUCGUCAAAGUGGUGUUGUUGCUGCUGCAGCUGGUGGUGGUGGUGGUGGUGGUGGUGGUUCUGGUGGUUCUGGUGGUGGUGCCCGGAUAUCGGUCGAAGAAAUUUCUUCGUUCGGUGCCGGUCGUUGAUCUUCUACCCCUUUUCCACCACCUCCUCUUCUCUCUUUAAGGUACCACCAACCAACGAAUCUCGUCGUCUCGGACGCGCGCGCGCGAGCAUCGACCGAUCCUUUCUCCUCCUACUAUCUCUCUCUCUCUCUCUCUCUCUCUCUCUCUCUCAUUCUCUCUCAUUCUUUCAUUCUCUAUUUCUCUCUAUUUCGUUUCUUUGUUUCUUUUUAUUUUCCCGCGAAUCGUUCGAUCAGAUGGAUCGGUUAAGAUGGUGUUAAUGGUGUUGCUAGUGGUGAUGAUUGUGAAGAUGAUGAUGAUGGUGGUUGACGACGAUUAGAAAGAUAGAUGCCAUUGAAGUUAAAUUUACGAUGUAAUCUUACGUUUUAAUCCCGUUCGUUACGGACUCCCUCGUGUUCCUCGUGUUGCGAACGACAGUGACGAACGAAAGAAAGAAAGAAAAAGAGAGAAAGAGAGAGAAAGAGAGAAAGAGAGAGAGAGAGAGAGAGAAAUAGAAAAGGGGGAGAGAAAAAAAGGUGGAAAAUACGACUCGGUUUAAUGGUUCGUUAGCUAGGGAAAUAAUGUAAAAGGUGGACUUCGAAUGCAAAACGUCGAACAGCUGAUAUUGCUGCAACCCCCAACUACCCCCACUCCUCAUCGUUCUAGAGGGCAAAUGACAAGAUUAACGUGAGGAACGAACGUACCAACGGAAAACACAACUUUCAAAUAAAUUGAAUUUAAUCGAAUAACAAAGAAGACAAAUUAAAUAAGUGAAGAAGGAUGAAGGUUAAUAAUAAAAUAAUAGAAAAAUAUAAUCGUAGAAGAAUUAAUGGAAAAUCAUGUGGACGAAUUUUAAUCAUCGAAAUGGAUGAUGAACCAUACAAGUUCAAAUUAUCCCAAUCAUGUAACUUAAUCGGUGUUAAUAAAGAGACAAGUGAUACGAUAUUAUAUUUUCCUCUUACGAACUGAGUGAAAAUCAAAUGAACAACAAAAUACCUUGAAAUAGGAUACUCAACGAAUGAACGAAUGAAUGAAUGGCUUGAAGAAAUACAUUUCAAAAUAUCAUUUCCAUGGACACCGAAUCGAAGGAUGUAGAAAUGUCAAAAGAAACGGAAGGAUCGAUCAUCAGAGAACAAUAAAAACCUCAUUGGCUAUAUAUUAAUAAAAAAAAAAAGAACAAAAUGGAAUUGAACGAUACGAUGGAAGAGGAUACUGUAAAUAUAACCGAUUUACCGGAUCGAUUAUCAAACAUUUUGAUUGACAUUGUUCAUAGAAAUGAAAAUGAGACUUACGAACGUGGGAAAAAUACUUACGAGGUUGAACACGUGUUAGUAUUGACAGCUAAAGCAACAGUGAUGGGUUUUAUCAUACUUUGUGCAUUAUUUGGCAAUCUUCUCGUAAUAGUGUCAGUAAUGAGGCAUCGUAAAUUACGAGUAAUAACAAAUUAUUUCGUAGUAUCGUUAGCAUUGGCUGAUAUGCUUGUUGCAAUAUUUGCGAUGACAUUUAACGCAUCAGUAGAAUUGUCGGGCAAAUGGUUGUUCGGAUAUUUCAUGUGCGACGUAUGGAAUUCUCUCGACGUAUUUUUCAGUACCGUAUCAAUUCUUCAUCUUUGUUGCAUCAGCGUGGAUCGUUAUUAUGCAAUAGUACAACCAUUGGAUUAUCCAUUGAUCAUGACGAAUCUACGACUUGGUGCAAUGUUAAGCGUAGUUUGGUGUUCACCAACGGUCAUGAGUUUUCUUCCAAUAUUUGCUGGUUGGUAUACUACCAAGGAACAUCUUGAAUACAGACAAAAUUAUCCCGAUGUGUGUGUAUUUCAAGUGAACAAAUUAUACGCGGUUAUAAGCUCAAGUGUAAGCUUUUGGGUACCUGGCAUUAUUAUGAUCGCAAUGUAUUACAAGAUUUAUCGUGAAGCUGAUCGUCAAGAACGUAUGUUGUAUAGAAGCAAAGUCGCUGCUGCACUAUUAAAUAAACACAUGCGAUUUAAUGGUAUUUCCGCGGGUAUAACAUCAUUACCCACGGUAGAUCAAUCGUCGCAUGAUCUUCAACCGGAAGAACCACCUAUCACCAGCAGCAGUAAAAUGAAACGUGAGAGGAAGGCUGCCAGAACACUCGGGAUCAUCAUGUCAGCAUUUUUAGCUUGCUGGCUUCCUUUUUUUCUCUGGUACGUCAUAACGUCUCUCUGCGAUGCCUGUGAAUGCGGUGACAUUGUAGUUGCAGUAGUCUUUUGGGUUGGCUACUUCAACAGCGCAUUGAAUCCAUUGAUUUAUGCAUACUUCAAUCGUGAUUUCCGUGCUGCAUUUAGAAAAACAUUAGAGAGUUGUUGUGCAGCAAUAGGACCUGUACGAGAUCUUGGACAAAUUCAUAAAAAACAAGAUUUGGUACACAGUAAUGCGUCAUCGGAACUUCACGUUAAUAAUCAGUUGAGAACCAGUGAGAUGACGAACGUGCAUAUCGAAGCAUGCAUUUAAAAUCGAUCCUUUCUUUCAAAUAAUAUGAAUAAGAAAUAAAAGAAGAUGAGGAAAAUCAAAGGACACCCGAUAGAGAAACAUUCAUAAUAAAUAUGAAAUAAUGCAACAUGUGGAAUUUGAAGAUACAAUUUCGUUCGUGGCAAGUUUGGGGGUCAGAAGUUUUGGUCGAAUUUGAAAGAAAUGUUUGACUACGAAGUCAUCAUGGCGCAGAAGCUAUAAAAUAAAUUACAUUAGAAAGAAAUUCUAAAAUCAAAACAUUAUAAUACAAGGUUUUACACCUGUCCAACUUUUAAAAAAAUCAUAUAAACAACAUUGAAUAAAAGUAUUUUUAAGAUUGAUUGUUUGAAAUAUGCUGACAUUUCGUAAAUAGUUUAUACAGUAAAAACGUUUAAUCUUAAUUACUUGAUCUCGCAUGCUAUGCCCUUUGGCAUACUGUAUUAUAUUUAGUUAAACAACUCAACACACAUAUUGACUUACUUGCAUAUAGCUAUGGUUGUGUUGUAAUAUAUUUUUUUUUUUACGAAGUAAAAUUAUGUAUUACAA